GUAUGGAAUAUUGGUCAAUGGACGAAAGUCUGAACCAGCCAUUCCGCGUGCAGGAAGAAGAUUCUAUGGAUUGUAAACUGCUUUUAGCAGAGAAGAAACGCCUUCAUUGAUGAGGGUUUGACGGUAUCUGCGGAAUAAGCACCGGCUAACUCCGUGCCAGCAGCCGCGGUAAUACGGGGGGUGCAAGCGUUAUCCGGAAUCACUGGGUUUAAAGGGUGCGUAGCCGGGCAAUUAAGUCAGUGGUGAAAGUCUGUUGCUUAACGAUAGAAUUUCCGUUGAUACUGAUUGUCUUGAAUUGGGUUGAGGUUAGCGGAAUGUGACAUGUAGCGGUGAAAUGCAUGGAUAUGUCAUGGAACACCAAUUGCGAAGGCAGCUAGCUGGGCCUUGAUUGACGCUGAGGCACGAAAGCGUGAGUAGCGAACAGGAUUAGAUACACUUGUAGACC
rnacentral:rRNA from 1 species